GCAAAGGCAUAAGGGAGCUUGACUGCGAGACCUACAAGUCGAGCAGGGACGAAAGUCGGGCUUAGUGAUCCGGUGGUUCCGCAUGGAAGGGCCAUCGCUCAACGGAUAAAAGCUACCCCGGGGAUAACAGGCUUAUCUCCCCCAAGAGUCCACAUCGACGGGGAGGUUUGGCACCUCGAUGUCGGCUCAUCGCAUCCUGGGGCUGUAGUCGGUCCCAAGGGUUGGGCUGUUCGCCCAUUAAAGCGGUACGCGAGCUGGGUUCAGAACGUCGUGAGACAGUUCGGUCCCUAUCCGUCGUGGGCGUAGGAAAUUUGAGAGGAGCUGUCCUUAGUACGAGAGGACCGGGAUGGACGCACCGCUGGUGUACCAGUUGUUCUGCCAAGGGCAUAGCUGGGUAGCUAUGUGCGGAAGGGAUAAGUGCUGAAAGCAUCUAAGCAUGAAGCCCCCCUCAAGAUGAGAUUUCCCAUAGCGUAAGCUAGUAAGAUCC
rnacentral:rRNA from 1 species